UGGGAGGCCGAGGCAGGAGAAUCACUUGAACCUGGGAGGCGGAGGUUGCAGUGAGCCAAGAUUGCACCACUGCACUCCAGUCUCAGCAACAGAGCGAGACUCCAUCUCAAAUAAGUAAAUACAUAAAUAAUUAGGAUUUUGUUCUUUUUACAUUUCUGUACGUAAUUCAAGUCUUCCUGGGGGUAAAAACUACUUACUCACUAAGGGAAUAAUUCAGUCAUUUCAAACCAUUUUUGAGGGUCUCUACUCAGCAGUUUGAUGUUGUGUAAUGAUUCAGGAUUCUUCUCUGUGACCCUGAUGGGCCAUUCCGAUUCCUAUUUAUAGAUGCUUAUCUCAAGACCUUCUGUGUGGGUAGUCUCAGAGCCCUUGGGACUGCCUUCGUCCACAACCUUGGGUUUGAGUCAUAUCACUACCGAAUUCUUCCCUCUGUUCAUGGAAAUCUGGUAACUACAUCAACGAGGUAUUUUCUACAGAACUGAUUGGGUUUUUUGUUUCUUUGCCUCAUAAGAUAUAAAAAUGUCUAAAGGCCCUGGAAUGUCACAGUAUUAAUAGCUGAUGUGUAUGGAAGGCCUACUAUGUACUGGGCAUAAUUCUAUGUGUUCUUCAUUUGUUAAUUCACUCAAUCCUUUUUUUUUCUUUUUUUUUUUUUUUGAGAUGGAGUCUCACUCUGUCGCCAGGCUGGAGUGCAGUGGCGCGAUUAUAUUCACCUAGAAGUUUGUGAACACUGUUCCUCUUUCAGUAAAAUCCAUGUUAUAGAUGCUGCUGGAUUUUAGGCAUCCAGAAAGGCCUGAGAUUGGCAGCUAUUUGUUGACAAUUCAAUGGGUAUAAAAGAAGCCGUCACUGGGAGAGCCAAUAAAGAUACGACAGAUCUGGCAGGAGAACAAGAUCCAGCCCAGGUGAUGGGGUGUGAGGCUUGGUCUUAGCUACAGGGAAUGGAGAUUUUUCUGGUCUGCUGGGGCUUUUCCUAAUUCUGCACGGUCGGCUUGAGACUGUCCACCUGUUGCUCCAUCUAGGCUGCGUUGCCCUUAUGAGCCGUCUUCACAAGGUACGUUUGGAGGAUGUCAGGAUGUCUUUCAAAGGAUUUGUAGACAUGCUUUAAAGUACUUACGGAGUCAAUGUCCCCUUUGCUUCAAGCUUCUCUCCUACUGUAGGAAAUAAUGUCUACGGUGGCCCAUUUCCAAGGCAAAGUGCCUCAAAUAGGCUUGGGCCCACAACCUGCGGAUGGACAGGAUAUACUAGACCCCUGCUGGUCAGGGCCCCCUUAGUUACCCCCACCCAAAGCAAAGCGUUUAGUCUAGAAUGAAAGUUUACUAGCCUGAAAAAUAGCUCACUUUAUCUAUUCUUAUCAGCUUGCCUGGCCACCUGGGUCAUAAGUCAAAUACUUGAAGAGCACCUUAGCUGACUAUGAUUGCAGUGCAUUAUGGGCCACAACAAACUGCAGCGAGACAACCCUAAAGUAAACACCUAAAAGCCCCAACCCAACGACCAAUAGGUGAUGUCUGGGAAGAUGGUGACCCCAUGGUACUCAGCCUAUGAGGAACCGGGGGAGGGACUUGCCUACUAGGGGAUACAUUGCUUGUUGUAACUGUACUGGGUGUGCCUGCCUACCAGACACCAGAUCUUGCAAGACUGUCAUUAAAAGUCUCACUUCUGGCUGGGCGCAGUGGCUCAUGCCUGUAAUCCCAG
rnacentral:lncRNA from 10 species